rnacentral:rRNA from 1 species
AGAGUUUGAUCCUGGCUCAGGACGAACGCUGGCGGCGUGCUUAAUACGUGCAAGUCGAGCGAGGUUACUGUUUUGGAUCCCUUCGGGGUGAAGAAGCUUUAACCUAGCGGCGGACGGGUGAGUAACGCGUGGGUAACCUACCCCAAAGUCCGGGAUAACAGCGGGAAACCGCUGCUAAUACCGGAUGCCUUUACCUUGGGGCAUCUUGAGGUAAAGAAAGGUAACGCUUUGGGAUGGGCCCGCGUCCCAUUAGCUAGUUGGUGAGGUAACGGCUCACCAAGGCGACGAUGGGUAGCCGGCCUGAGAGGGUGGACGGCCACACUGGGACUGAGACACGGCCCAGACUCCUACGGGAGGCAGCAGUAGGGAAUAUUGCGCAAUGGACGGAAGUCUGACGCAGCGACGCCGCGUGAGCGAUGAAGGUCUUCGGAUCGUAAAGCUCUGUCCUUGGGGAAGAAGGCGAAAGCUUGACGGUACCCAAGAAGAAAGCCCCGGCUAACUACGUGCCAGCAGCCGCGGUAAU